rnacentral:rRNA from 1 species
UACGUAGGGGGCAAGCGUUGUCCGGAUUUAUUGGGCGUAAAGCGCGUGUAGGCGGCCAGAUAGGUCUGCUGUGAAAACUCGAGGCUCAACCUCGAGCUGUCGGCGGAAACCAUCUGGCUAGAGUCCGGAAGAGGAGAGUGGAGUUCCUGGUGUAGCGGUGAAAUGCGCAGAUAUCAGGAAGAACACCUAUGGCGAAGGCAGCUCUCUGGGACGGUACUGACGCUGAGACGCGAAAGCGUGGGGAGCGAACAGG